rnacentral:snoRNA from 1 species
AUAUGAUGAGCUUUCAGCUGGCACCAGUCUGAGGAUGACUUGUACUCCCCUCAUUGAUGACAAACGCUGCGGUCUUUUGACCAAUUCUGAC